rnacentral:tRNA from 1 species
UCAGAAAAGCAAGGAUCUAUACUCACUCCAGUAGCCCCCAAAACCACCGUUCUUAAUAAACUAUUUUCUG